rnacentral:misc_RNA from 1 species
AACGAGGCCGACCUGCGGCUGAGUUACCUGCGGAAGGAUCAUUACCGAGUUAUACAACUCAUCAACCCCUGUGAACUUACCUACAACGUUGCUUCGGCGGGAACAGACGGCCCCGUAAAACGGGCCGCCCCCGCCAGAGGACCCCUAACUCUGUUUUUAUAAUGUUUUUCUGAGUAAACAAGCAAAUAAAUUAAAACUUUCAACAAUGGAUCU